UGGAAAAUUCUUCUCUGAGGGACAGAGAAAAUACCUCCUCCAGACAGCAAUGCUGGCGAUCCACGACUCCCUGCUGAGUGUCAGCCAGGCUGGGCUGCUUCUCACAUACUCCAUCCUGGGGGAAGCCCAGCAACUGAUGGGGGACAAGCUGGAGGAUGUCACAGCCAAGGUGAUGUGCCAGCUCCGCAUCAUCUGGCACUUGCACCAGGUGCCCGAGGUGCUGCAAGGGCUGCGCCUCUUCUGAUGCCCUUAAAGGUUCCCUCCCAUGUUUAGCAACUCCCGCUCCCUGCUGCAGGCAGAGAUCUCACUGCCCCAUAUGGCGCAGAAGGACCUUUGUGUCAGGGCUACAGACUGCCUGCCCAACUGAAGCUCAGGAAGCUCCACAUUUGAGGAGGUGAGGAUGGGACAGAGGCUCAGGGCCUGCUUCAC